rnacentral:lncRNA from 1 species
GCAGACCAGAGCAAGGCCCUGGACACUGUCCCAGACACCCUGCCCAGCCCUGCAGGAGGGACAGUUCAGGUGGCACUUGCUGGAGACGUGUGCCAGAGGUUUCCCUAUUACUGUACACACUCCCUCUUCUCUGCUCUUCUCCUCUUCAGCUUCACCCAGGAUGACAGCAUUACCCCCACAAGCAGGUAAGGCGUCCAUUCCUGGGACUGGGCCAUGCUGUGACCCACACAGCCAGCGGGAUAAGUCACUUUAUCAGGGUGUGAAAUGCCCAGGAAGAGCUGCAAGGCUGUUAGGGAUGGGGAGGGGCUGUAAUGUACCCAGAGGAUGGGAGCUGCUGCAUCACCCGGCCCUUGGCACCCAACACCUGCUGCCUUGAAUGACUGGGGUAAGGGCUGGGAUGUACUGUCCCUUUUCUCUCCAAACCAUGGUGCAUCCACUGCCAUGUUCCUUCCCCUGCAGAUUUCCCCCGGGGUCAUCCAACUGACAGAGGGAAAGCCGCCGUGCCUGUUGUCAUUUGCAUUAUCCUGGGGGCUCUUCUCUGCCUGCUCCUGGCCCUCCUGGCUGGGCAAACUGUCAAGGCACAGCGCAGAGGCUCCAGGAGAACUGAGGAGCCCUUCCCUGAGGUUGUGUAUGAGGAGAUCGGAUACAGCUCUGCAUGGGAGAAGCAGACAACGUUUGAUCACUCAGACAUUGCUAUUGUGCCCAGAGAUGAUCCAGAAGAAGGCUAUGAUGAUGCCAAGGAGGUUUCUGAACCUGGGAAUGAUCCUGACUCUGGGCAGGGUCACUCUGAAGUGCCCAGGACACAAAAGGAGGAAGAGGAGCCAAUGGAUGCAGUCAGAGGUAAGAAGGAAAUGAAUUGCAGCUCUGCUAGUUACCACAUACCGUUCCCUGUCUUAGGUGAAUUGCUGCAGUACCAUGAGCCCAGCCUUUUAUGA